rfam:Gossypium arboreum cultivar AKA8401 contig_51063_1, whole genome shotgun sequence.
AACCCAUGAUGAGGGCACCUUUUCAAUAUAUCUUUAAAUCUCUCUUAUGCAUCAAAUAAUGUCUCCAAAUAAAUUUGAGCAAAACAAGAGAUGUCAUUUCUCAACUU